rnacentral:rRNA from 1 species
CCCUUAGAUGUUCUGGGCCGCACGCGCGCUACACUGUUCGACGCAGCGAGUCUUAACCUUGACCGAAAGGUUUGGGUAAUCUUCAGCAAAGUCGAACGUGAUGGGGAUCGAUCAUUGCAAUUAUUGAUCGUGAACGAGGAAUUCCUAGUAAGUGCAAGUCAUCAGCUUGCGCUGAUUACGUCCCUGCCCUUUGUACACACCGCCCGUCGCUACUACCGAUUGAAUGGUUUAGUGAGAUCUCUGGAUUGACGCUGGCUAGGGGGCGACCCUUGGCCAGGCUGUCGAGAAACUGCUCAAACUUGAUCAUUUAGAGGAAGUAAAAGUCGUAACA